rnacentral:rRNA from 1 species
GUACACUCCUACGGGAGGCAGCAGUGGGGAAUUUUGGACAAUGGGCGAAAGCCUGAUCCAGCAAUGCCGCGUGAGUGAAGAAGGCCUUCGGGUUGUAAAGCUCUUUUGUCAGGGAAGAAACGGUGAGAGCUAAUAUCUUUUGCUAAUGACGGUACCUGAAGAAUAAGCACCGGCUAACUACGUGCCAGCAGCCGCGGUAAUACGUAGGGUGCAAGCGUUAAUCGGAAUUACUGGGCGUAAAGCGUGCGCAGGCGGUUUUGUAAGUCUGAUGUGAAAUCCCCGGGCUCAACCUGGGAAUUGCAUUGGAGACUGCAAGGCUAGAAUCUGGCAGAGGGGGGUAGAAUUCCACGUGUAGCAGUGAAAUGCGUAGAUAUGUGGAGGAACACCGAUGGCGAAGGCAGCCCCCUGGGUCAAGAUUGACGCUCAUGCACGAAAGCGUGGGGAGCAAACAGGAUUAGAUACCCGGGUAGUCCCA